rnacentral:piRNA from 1 species
UGGCAAAGAUAAGCUCAUGGGAAGGAGG